rnacentral:rRNA from 1 species
UAUGGUAAUGCCAGCAGCCGCGGUAAUACGUAGGGAGCAAGCGUUAUCCGGAUUUACUGGGUGUAAAGGGCGCGCAGGCGGGCCGGCAAGUUGGAAGUGAAAUCUAUGGGCUUAACCCAUAAACUGCUUUCAAAACUGCUGGUCUUGAGUGAUGGAGAGGCAGGCGGAAUUCCGUGUGUAGCGGUGAAAUGCGUAGAUAUACGGAGGAACACCAGUGGCGAAGGCGGCCUGCUGGACAUUAACUGACGCUGAGGCGCGAAAGCGUGGGGAGCAAACAGG